GGGGAAUAUUGGGCAAUGGACGAAAGUCUGACCCAGAAACGCCUCGUGAAAGAAGAACGCUUUCGGGUUGAAAACUUCUUUUAAGGGGGAAGAGCAGAAGACGGUACCCCUUGAAUAAGCCACGGCUAACUACGUGCCAGCAGCCGCGGUAAUACGUAGGUGGCAAGCGUUGUCCGGAUUUACUGGGUGUAAAGGGCGUGCAGCCGGGAAGGCAAGUCAGAUGUGAAAUCUGGAGGCUCAACCUCCAAACUGCAUUUGAAACUGCUUUUCUUGACUAUCGGAGAGGUAAUCGGAAUUCCUUGUGUAGCGGUGAAAUGCGUAGAUAUAAGGAAGAACACCAGUGUCGAAGGCGGAUUACUGGACGACAACUGACGGUGAGGCGCGAAAGCGUGGGGCGCAAACA
rnacentral:rRNA from 1 species